rnacentral:rRNA from 1 species
UACGUAGGAAGCGAGCGUUGUCCGGAAUUAUUGGGCGUAAAGGGCUCGUAGGCGGUUUGUCGCGUCGGGCGUGAAAUCCACUGGCUUAACUGGUGGCUUGCUUUCGAUACGGGCAGACUGGAGGUAUGCAGGGGAGAACGGAAUUCCUGGUGUAGCGGUGAAAUGCGCAGAUAUCAGGAGGAACACCGGUGGCGAAGGCGGUUCUCUGGGCAUGUCCUGACGCUGAGGAGCGAAAGUGUGGGGAGCGAACAGG